rnacentral:rRNA from 1 species
ACCUGAUUCAGCGGCGGGCGGGUGAGUAAUGCCUAGGAAUCUGCCCGGUAGUGGGGGACAACGUUUCGAAAGGAACGCUAAUACCGCAUACGUCCUACGGGAGAAAGUGGGGGAUCUUCGGACCUCACGCUAUCGGAUGAGCCUAGGUCGGAUUAGCUAGUUGGUGAGGUAAUGGCUCACCAAGGCGACGAUCCGUAACUGGUCUGAGAGGAUGAUCAGUCACACUGGAACUGAGACACGGUCCAGACUCCUACGGGAGGCAGCAGUGGGGAAUAUUGGACAAUGGGCGAAAGCCUGAUCCAGCCAUGCCGCGUGUGUGAAGAAGGUCUUCGGAUUGUAAAGCACUUUAAGUUGGGAGGAAGGGCAGUAAGUUAAUACCUUGCUGUUUUGACGUUACCAACAGAAUAAGCACCGGCUAACUUCGUGCCAGCAGCCGCGGUAAUACGAAGGGUGCAAGCGUUAAUCGGAAUUACUGGGCGUAAAGCGCGCGUAGGUGGUUCAGCAAGUUGGAUGUGAAAGCCCCGGGCUCAACCUGGGAACUGCAUCCAAAACUACUGAGCUAGAGUACGGUAGAGGGUGGUGGAAUUUCCUGUGUAGCGG